rnacentral:rRNA from 1 species
UGGGGAAUUUUGGACAAUGGGCGCAAGCCUGAUCCAGCCAUGCCGCGUGUGGGAAGAAGGCCUUCGGGUUGUAAACCACUUUUGUCAGGGAAGAAACGGCUCUUACUAAUAUUAGGAGCUAAUGACGGUACCUGAAGAAUAAGCACCGGCUAACUACGUGCCAGCAGCCGCGGUAAUACGUAGGGUGCGAGCGUUAAUCGGAAUUACUGGGCGUAAAGCGUGCGCAGGCGGUCUUGUAAGACAGUCGUGAAAGCCCCGGGCUUAACCUGGGAACUGCGAUUGUGACUGCAAGGCUAGAGUGUGUCAGAGGGGGGUGGAAUUCCACGUGUAGCAGUGAAAUGCGUAGAUAUGCGGAGGAACACCGAUGGCGAAGGCAAUCCCCUGGGCCUGUACUGACGCUCAUGCACGAAAGCGUGGGGAGCAAACA